CCUUUUCUCAACGAUUUAGUCCAAACCGAUAUAUUUUAGUCUCAGAAAUACCCUUUUUAUCAAAACCGUGUACUAAAUUGUUGUCGAUUCAUUUUUUUAUGUUGUUCUCAAAGCUCUGCAAUGAAAACUAAAUAAUUCAGGGCUUAAUUGUUGAUCUCGUUUCAACCGAUUAUUCGAAGCUUUUCGACAGGAUUUGGUAUAUGAGAUCGUAAUCAAAUUUUGUUAUUCAAAAUCUCUGAAACUGAGAAGAGUAUUUAGGUUUAGUUGUUAAUCUCGAUUCAGCUGGAUUGAAUCUUAGCUAGUUUUUCUUAUUCUAGAUCUUACCCUAGACGGCAUAGUAGGAGGAAAAUGAAAACAGUUUGGUAAUGGAAUUACCUUAAACUGUUGUAGCAUGAUCUUAAUUUUGAAGAGAUGGAAGCCUUAUCAGUGGAUUUCUUGAAAAAACUUGAGCAAUUCACUCAACAGCCUGCAAAUCUAGGUUAUUUGGGGAAGACUACCAAAGUUGAAGCUCAGUUAGAAAUUACUUUGUUUUUAAAGUGAUGCCGCAUUGGGCUUUCUCAAAAUCACCCUUUCUUGAUAAAGUUGUUUAUGACACCAUUGCUGCUCACCAUUGCCUUUCACCAUUGAUGCUCACCGUGUCCAGAUAAGUGUAAAUAUAUUUUUUUACUCACAAAUGUAAAGUAAUAAGUAUCCGUCGUAUGGCGUGUCCGGCAGAACAGAUAUAUAUAGACCACAGAUAGUCUUAUACUAACCACCUGCUGUUAAAGUUUAUAAGGAACUCACAUAAGUAAAAUAAUAUGUCGCGUCUGCAAUACCCCAGACUAGCAUUAGUUAUAAGAAAUGGCCAUGAACACGUUAGGUUUUAUGUUAUGUGCUAGGUGAAUGUGAUCCUUAUACGAUUUCUAAAUAUAUGUGUCCCUGUAAGUGGAACUGACUACUCUCUAGUCAAGAAUGUCCUAACCGGUCUUUCCAAUGUUUUUUUUUCUUUUAACUAUUACCUCCCUUUUGGAAUUUGGUGAGAAAUUUGAAUUUAUCAUAGCAAUAGAAAAAAAUGAAUGGCCUAACCAUAAAAAAUGGAACCACAUUAGUUAGCUACAUCUAUUGCUUUAUAGUGCGAAGUGGUGGACGCGUACGCCUAGGAUAUUGAUUUGCCUCUUCAAAUGAAACCACCUCGCACCACAUGAAUGCAACCUCAUGCGGUGCCUUGGUACUUGAUGCUUAUUUAAAUGACAUCCGUGUUCCAAUAAGAAAUUGAUGAUUCACCCGAGUAUCAAUUGUUUAAGAUUCAUUGUACGUUAAUGUGUACAUAGUUGUACAACUGUUGAUUCUUGAUGUGUACAUAAUUGUACACCUUGAUUAAGUAAGGAUUAACUAAGUAAGGUGACUGCAAUCUCUUUUAGUACUUCCAAAUUUGGUUGCCUAUGACUGAGACAUUUUUACUUUUCUAUACCUUCUAGUUUCUAGGUUAGAAAGGAGAAACCGUGAUAUUUUGAAUAUGCUUAAUUUUGACGUUACCAAAAAAGAUGCUUCUUAGAGAGGGCUGAUACCCGAUAUUUGCAAAAUCCUAGGCUACAUUCAGCUUUUUAAUUUAUUAUCUGGCUCUUUAGUUAAUGAUUAGCUUACCAACACCAUACUAUGUAUCUAGGGGAAUGUGUACAUAGUUGUACACAUGUUGGUUCUUAAUGUGUAAAUAGUUGUACACAUGUUAACGUGCACAUUGUUGUAUACUCGUUGAUCGUUAAUGUGCACAUGAUCGUACACCUAUUAGUUAAUGCAUACUAACACUUUCAUUACUGCCAUAUAACUCUGCUCAAAGCGACAAGGGUAAUUCAUGGAUUCCAUAAUUCGACAUUGAUGAUCAAACAGAAUUGGUCGCAUUCGUUUGUGGGAUAAUCUUAAUGGUUGUUUACUGUAUUCUGGUUGUUUACUGUAUUCUUUUUGUUUGGAGAACUAAUUUUCUUAGUGAGCAAAGAUGUAUUAUAGGUUACCUUAAUGAUAAUGUUACUACAGGAACAUCAACAUCGACAAGGAAAGGAGGACUUGAUUUAAAAGUGAUUGUAAGGUUUCCGGUUUUUUCCUAUCAAGAAAACGAGUUGCAUCUCUGAAUAGUAAAGUUGGCAAGGUACUUUUGGAGGGAGCUUAAGAAAGUGGAGAAGAACAAUGGACAGGUUUUGUAGAUGGGUGAUUUUAUGGAUUUUCCGAUUUGAAUAACAUGCUUACUAUGUGUUUAGGUAUUUUUCGAGAGAGCUUAAGAAAGUGGAGAAGAAUAAUGGACAGGUUAACGAUUUUCAAGAUGUGUACAUGUUUGCACACCAGUGUAAACUAUGAUUUAAAAAAAAUGAGAAUUAUAUAGUCAUAUGGGUAUUUUUUUUGUAGCUCUCGGAAAGGGCUUUCCGAAUAUAUAAAGUUAGCAAAUUUUGGACAAA